AUGGGUUGUGUGGAGGUCCUGCAGUCAAUGCGAGCCCUUGACUUCAACACGCGGACUCAGGUCACCAGGGAGGCCAUCAGUCUGGUGUGUGAGGCUGUGCCGGGUGCUAAGGGGGCGACAAAGAGGAGAAAGCCUUGUAGCCGCCCACUCAGCUCUAUCCUGGGGAGUAGUAACCUGAAAUUUGCUGGGAUGCCAAUCAUUCUCACCGUCUCCACCAGCAGCCUCAACCUCAUGGCCGCAGCCUGCAAACAGAUCAUCGCCAACCACCACAUGCAAUCUGUCUCAUUUGCGUCUGGCAGGGAUCCGGACACAGCUGAGUAUGUCGCCUAUGUUGCCAAAGACCCUGUGAAUCAGAGAGCCUGCCACAUCCUGGAGUGUCCUGAAGGGCUUGCCCAGGACAUCAUCAGCACCACUGACCAGGCCUUCGAGUUGUGCUUCAAACAAUACCUCGGGAACCCCCCAAAACUGGUCACCCCCCCAUGACAGGAUGGCUGGCUUUGAUGGCUCAGCUUGGGAUGAGGAGGAGGAUGAGCCACCCGAUCAUCAGUACUAUAAUGACUUCCCUGGGAAGGAACCCCCUCUUGGGGGGGUGGUAGACAUGAGGCUUCGGGAAGGAGCCACUCCAGGGGCUCCUCGCCCGACUCCACCCAGUACGCAAACCCCCAACCACUUGGGAGCUACACUGCCUGUAGGCCAGCCUAUUGGGGGAGAACCAGAAGUCCGCAAACAGAUGCCACCACCACCACCCUGCCCAGCAGGCAGAGAGCUCUUUGAUGAUCCCACCUACAUCAAUGUUCAGAACCUAGACAAGACCCGGCAAGCAGCUGGUGGGGCUGGGACCCCCAAUCCUGCCAUCAAUGGCAGUGCACCCUGGGACCUCUUUGACAUGAAGCCCUUUGAAGAUGCCCUUUGAGUGCCUCCACCUCCCCAGUCUGUGUCCAUGGCUGAGCAGCUCCGAGGGGAGCCCUGGUUUCAUGGGAAGUUAAGCCGGCGGGAGGUUGAGGCACUGCUGCGGCUCAACGGGGACUUCCUGGUGUGGGACAGCACGACCACACCUGGCCAGUAUGUGCUCACUGGCUUGCAGAGUGGGCAGCCCAAGCACCUGCUACUAGUGGAUCCUGAGGGUGUGGUUCGUACAAAGGAUCACCGCUUCAAGAGUGUCAGUCACCUCAUCAGUUACCACAUGGACAAUCACUUGCCCAUCAUCUCUGCAGGCAGCGAACUGUAUCUACAGCAACCUGUGGAGCGGAAACUGUGAUCCGCCCCAAUACUCUCCCAGAAGAUGCCCUCCAACCCCUUCCACCUAGUCCCUAACUCUCAGGACAUCAUUUGGGCGUGUUCUGUGGGCUUGGCCUUGUGUAGGAGCUGGGAGUAGUGUGGAUGCUGGGUUUAGUAUCCCGCUGAGAGGGUUUGAGUCAGAAGCCUAGGGGAGUUUACUGCUUCUCCUCAGACAUCACCAAAGUAUUAAUGUACAGAGUGGCCCUUUGCCUGGGCCUUUCCUGUGCCAGUCUGAUGACCCCUUCCCCAAGGUGAGUGCUUGUCAUGGAAAAUUCCUGUGGUGAUAGGCCCAGUGGAGCAAUCACCCUUCUGGGGAAGGGGGAAUGAAUCACACCUC